rnacentral:rRNA from 1 species
CCUACGGGUGGCUGCAGUGGGGAAUAUUGGACAAUGGGGGGAACCCUGAUCCAGCCAUGCCGCGUGUGUGAAGAAGGCCCUCGGGUUGUAAAGCACUUUCAGUGAGGAAGAACGCCUGGUGGUUAAUACCCAUCAGGAAAGACAUCACUCACAGAAGAAGCACCGGCUAACUCCGUGCCAGCAGCCGCGGUAAUACGGAGGGUGCGAGCGUUAAUCGGAAUUACUGGGCGUAAAGCGCGCGUAGGUGGCUUGAUAAGCCGGUUGUGAAAGCCCCGGGCUCAACCUGGGAACGGCAUCCGGAACUGUCAAGCUAGAGUGCAGGAGAGGAAGGUAGAAUUCCCGGUGUAGCGGUGAAAUGCGUAGAGAUCGGGGGGAAUACCAGUGGCGAAGGCGGCCUUCUGGACUGACACUGACACUGAGGUGCGAAAGCGUGGGUAGCAAACAGGAUUAGAUACCCCGGUAGUC